rnacentral:rRNA from 1 species
UACAGAGGUCCCAAGCGUUGUUCGGAUUCACUGGGCGUAAAGGGUGCGUAGGUGGUCGGGUAAGUCCGAUGUGAAAUCUCCGAGCUUAACUCGGAAACUGCAUCGGAUACUAUUCGACUUGAGGGUUGGAGGGGGGACUGGAAUUCUCGGUGUAGCAGUGAAAUGCGUAGAUAUCGAGAGGAACACCAGUGGCGAAGGCGAGUCCCUGGACAACUCCUGACACUGAGGCACGAAAGCUAGGGGAGCAAACAGG